rnacentral:tRNA from 2 species
GCGGGCGUGGCGGAAUUGGCAGACGCGCUAGACUUAGGAUCUAGUGCCGCAAGGCGUGGGAGUUCAAAUCUCUUCGCCCGCACCA